rnacentral:rRNA from 1 species
UUUAAGGUCGGGCCUGCCCAAUGAAAUUUAAAUGGCUGCAGUAUAUUGACUGUACAAAGGUAGCAUAAUCAUUAGUUUUUUAAUUGAAAACUUGUAUGAAAGGUUUGAUGAGAAAAUUACUGUCUCAAUUUUAAUUAAUUAAAAUUUUAUUUUUAAUUUAAAAAGAUUAAAUGUUAUAUAAAGACGAGAAGACCCUAUAGAGUUUGAUUACGAGUCUAAAUAUAAAUUUACAGAUUUUUAUAUUUUAUUUUAUUAAGUAAUUUUGUUGGGGUGAUAUAAAAAUUUAAUUAACUUUUUAUUAUGUUAACAUUGAUUUAUGAAUAAUUUGAUCAUGGUUUAAGAUUAAGAGAAAAAAUUACCUUAGGGAUAACAGCGUAAUUUAUUUUUAGAGUUCUAAUUGAAAAAUAAGAUUGCGACCUCGAUGUUGGAUUAAAAUAAAAAAUUGGUGCAGAAGCUAAAUUUUUAAGUCUGUUCGACUUUUAAAUUUUUACAUGAUCUGAGUUUAGACCGGUGUGAGCCAGGUUGGUUUCUAUCUUUUAUUUUAUAAUAUUUUUUAGUACGAAAGGACCAAGAAUUUAAAUAUUAUUUUAUAUUAAGAAUAAAAUUAAUUAUUUUGGCAGAUUAGUGCGAUAGAUUUAGAAUCUUUUUAUGUAAUUUAAUUACAAAUAAUAAUAUUAUUAGUUGAUUUAGGUUUAAGAAUUUUUUCUAUAUUAAUUUUAAUUGUUUUUGUUUUAGUAGAGUUGCUUUUUUGACUUUAAUGGAACGGAAAGU